ensembl:lncRNA novel transcript
AUGAAUCAUUGCAGGACAGUAUUUCCUGGCAUCGAGCUCUGUGCACCAGAGACCACGCUGCAAGCAGAUAGGAGCUGACUGACCUUAAGUGACUCUCAAUCUAAUAAAGUCAAGGCCAGAAAUUUUGGUCUAGCAACACUAAAGCCAGUGAUUUGGAAUUUCAGCUCACAGAUCCUGGAUCUUCUGCUUUGAAGAAAGUUUGGGCUUUGGCAGAAUCGGGUGCUAUUAGCCCAAAGAAUGAAGCUCAUGACUUAAGAGUUUCCAUCACGACUCUUGUCAGGGGAAGCAUUCUUUCCCAGGCACACCUCUCUUUGUCUCUGGGUUUCAGGAGCAAAAGUUCUGCAAGAGUCUCUAAGGUGAGUCAGUGCCUGUGAGCCCUGGUUGCUCUUCCAAUUUAAGACCUCAGGGUUGAAAUAAAGCCAGACUAUGGAGCAAACCCUAA